rnacentral:rRNA from 1 species
GACGAACGCUGGCGGCGUGCUUAACACGUGCAAGUCGAACGGAAAGGCCCUGCUUUUGUGGGGUGCUCGAGUGGCGAACGGGUGAGUAACACGUGAGUAACCUGCCCUUGACUUUGGGAUAACUUCAGGAAACUGGGGCUAAUACCGGAUAGGAGCUCCUGCUGCAUGGUGGGGGUUGGAAAGUUUCGGCGGUUGGGGAUGGACUCGCGGCUUAUCAGCUUGUUGGUGGGGUAGUGGCUUACCAAGGCUUUGACGGGUAGCCGGCCUGAGAGGGUGACCGGCCAAAUUGGGACUGAGGUACGGCCCAGACUCCUACGGGAGGCAGCAGGGGGGAAUAUUGCACAAUGGGCGGAAGCCUAAUGCAGCAACGCCGCGUGCGGGAUGACGGCCUUCGGGUUGUAAACCGCUUUCGCCUGUGACGAAGCGUGAGUGACGGUAAUGGGUAAAGAAGCACCGGCUAACUACGUG